CCGCUUUGUUCUCGGGGUAAUAUCUGCCAAGCGUCAAUGCCAAACUGCCAAUAUAAUCCCAUUUUGCUAAGCCGACAUUCUUCAGUUAUCAGCAAAAGCUAGCCAAAUUUUAUCUCAGUUCACUCUGGUUUCAACGGUCUUCGAGACAACAUAAAAGGAAAUUGCACACACCGGCAAAAGAGAGCAAGGUCCAUAACGGCGAGGGCCCCUUACCCUCGUCCUGAUCUUCGCAUCUCUCGAUCACUUCACCACGGGGAAGCCCGGCCCGGACAUGAGAUUCAAUGUCCAUAACGGUGAGGGCCCUUACUCUCACCCUGAUGUUGUUUCUCCAGCUUUUCUGGGGGCCCCUUACCCCCAAGAAACCGCACUUUCCGUCACCCAAUUUGGCCACAAAGGAUUUGCGUGAUUUAUUAAUGGCCAUAAAUGUGAACAGAUCGAGUUUUCUGAUCAAUAGCAGUCGUAGUAGAAAGUAUUGAAUAUUUUUCCAACGAAUGUACGCGAUAGGUAGAAGGCUUAAAUGUAUAUAAAACUAUUCACUGGUAAUACUUGUUUUGAACUUGACGCGACUGUGUGACGGAAUGCAUAUUCAAUAUAUACUAUAAGUUACGAUUUUAAAAAAUUCAUUAAUAAUUCACGAGGAAAAUACAAAAGAAAUG